rnacentral:misc_RNA from 1 species
AGAUGAAGAACGUAGCGAAAUGCGAUACGUAGUGUGAAUUGCAGAAUUCAGUGAAUCAUCGAAUCUUUGAACGCACAUUGCACCUCUCGGUAUUCCGGGAGGUAUGCCUGUUCGAGCGUCAUUUGUACCCUCAAGCUCUGCUUGGUGUUGGGGCUUGCCCGUCACAGGGCAGCCCUUAAAAGCAGUGGCGGUGCCAUCUGGCUCUACGCGUAGUAAUACUUCUCGCGACAGAGUCCCGGUGGUGUCCUGCCAGAACCCAAAUUUUUUAAUGAUUGACCUCGGAUCAGGUAGGGAUACCCGCUGAACUUAAGCAUAUCAAUAAGCGGAGGA